rnacentral:rRNA from 1 species
GACGAACGCUGGCGGCGUGCUUAACACAUGCAAGUCGAACGGAAAGGCCCUGCUUGCCGGGUACUCGAGUGGCGAACGGGUGAGUAACACGUGGGUGAUCUGCCCUGCACUUCGGGAUAAGCCUGGGAAACUGGGUCUAAUACCGGAUAGGAGCCAUUUUUAGUGUGAUGGUUGGAAAGUUUUUUCGGUGUAGGAUGAGCUCGCGGCCUAUCAGCUUGUUGGUGGGGUAAUGGCCUACCAAGGCGGCGACGGGUAGCCGGCCUGAGAGGGUGGACGGCCACAUUGGGACUGGGAUACGGCCCAAACUCCUACGGGAGGCAGCAGUGGGAAAUAUUGCACAAUGGGCGCAAGCCUGAUGCAGCGACGCCGCGUGGGGGUGACGGCCUUCGGGUUGUAAACUCCUUUCGCUAGGGACGAAGCUUUUUGUGACGGUACCUAGAUAAGAAGCACCGGCUAACUACGUG